rnacentral:rRNA from 1 species
CCUACGGGAGGCAGCAGUGAGGAAUAUUGGUCAAUGGACGAGAGUCUGAACCAGCCAAGUAGCGUGAAGGAUGACUGCCCUAUGGGUUGUAAACUUCUUUUAUAUGGGAAUAAAACGUUCCACGUGUGGGAUUUUGUAUGUACCAUAUGCAUAAGGAUCGGCUAACUCCGUGCCAGUAGCCACGGUAAUACGGAGGAUCCGAGCGUUAUCCGGAUUUAUUGGGUUUAAAGGGAGCGUAGGUGGAUGGUUAAGUCAGUUGGGAAAGUUUGCGGCUCAACCGUAAAAUUGCAGUUGAAACUGGCAGUCGUGAGUACAGUAGAGGUAGGCGGAAUUCGUGGUGUAGCGGUGAAAUGCUUAGAUAUCACGAAGAACACCGAUUGCGAAGGCAGUUCACUGGACUGCAACUGACGCUGAGGCUCGAAAGUGUGGGUAGCAAACAGGAUUAGAUACCCUAGUAGUC